rnacentral:rRNA from 1 species
AUACGGAGGGGACUAGCGUUGUUCGGAAUUACUGGGCGUAAAGAGUUCGUAGGCGGACUAACAAGUAAGAGGUGAAAUCCCAGGGCUCAACCCUGGAACUGCCUUUUAAACUGUCAGUCUAGAGACCGGAAGAGGUUAGGGGAAUACCUAGUGUAGAGGUGAAAUUCGUAGAUAUUAGGUGGAACACCAGUGGCGAAGGCGCCUAACUGGUCCGGUACUGACGCUGAGGAACGAAAGCGUGGGGAGCAAACAGGAUUAGAAACCCUAGUAGUCC